rnacentral:rRNA from 1 species
GCGCCUACGGGGGGCAGCAGUGGGGAAUAUUGCACAAUGGGGGAAACCCUGAUGCAGCGACGCCGCGUGAGUGAGGAAGUAUUUCGGUAUGUAAAGCUCUAUCAGCAGGGAAGAAAAUGACGGUACCUGACUAAGAAGCCCCGGCUAACUACGUGCCAGCAGCCGCGGUAAUAUGUAGGGGGCAAGCGUUAUCCGGAUUUACUGGGGGUAAAGGGAGCGUAGACGGAGGAGCAAGUCUGAUGUGAAAAUCCGGGGCCCACCCCCGGAGCUGCAUUGGGAACUGUUUAUCUAGUGUG